AGACAGGUGGUGCAUGGUUGUCGUCAGCUCGUGUCGUGAGAUGUUGGGUUAAGUCCCGCAACGAGCGCAACCCCUACGUUUAGUUGCUAACGCGUGAAGGCGAGCACUCUAGACGAACUGCCGUUGACAAAACGGAGGAAGUGGGAUGACGUCAAAUCAUCAUGCCCCUUAUGUUCUGGGCUACACACGUGCUACAAUGGCCGGUACAGACGGACGCAAAGCCGCGAGGUGGAGCAAAUCCUAAAAAGCCGGUCUCAGUUCGGAUUGCAGGCUGCAAUUCGCCUGCAUGAAGUCGGAAUCGCUAGUAAUCGCAGGUCAGCAUACUGCGGUGAAUACGUUCCCGGGCCUU
rnacentral:rRNA from 1 species